AUUUGGGGCCGAAUGUUGUAUCUAUACCAAUAUCAAUAGACUCAAAGGGGCAGAUCCAACUAAUCUUUGCCAUCGAACCAGGUCAAUCUAACGACCUAGACUGCUUCAAUGGCGAGAUGUCAUGUGGGGUCAGCCCUAUAGGCGCAAGGCAGGCCCCACGCGGUCUGCGCCUGCAUCGGCCUAAACUAUGGCCUAGUUUAAUUAUAGAAGUUGUGUUAGAUUAUGAGUCUGGGUUAGUUGGAAAGGUUUAGUCCCGUAGAAGGUUACCCUGCCAACUCCCAAUUAGAGUAGGAGUCUAGUCUUGUAAUGAGGCUUUAUAUAGCCAGCCUUUGGAUCAAUAAAAUUAAGCAGAAACAAUCUAAUCUCUCACCCCUAUGCUCCUGCGCCUCGACGCCUCUCCUCACCCCCUUCUCCAACGAUAGGCCGGCGAGGGAUUCGCCCUCGGCCUCGCGUCUCUCACAACUACUACCUCCGCUCCAACCCACCAGCCCAUGACAACUUGGUAUCAGAAUGGAGGGGGAGAUGUCAUGUGGGGUUAGCCCUAUAGGCGCAAGGCAGGCCCCACGCAGUCUGGGCCUGCACGGCCUAAACUAUGGCCUAGUUUAAUUAUAGAAGUUGUGUUAGAUUAGGAGUCUGGGUUAGUUGGAAAGGUUUAGUCCCGUAGAAGGUUACCCUGCCAACUCCCAAUUAGAGUAGGAGUCUAGUCUUGUAAUCAGGCUUUAUAUAGCCAGCCUUUGGAUCAAUAAAAUUAAGCAGAAACAAUCUAAUCUCUCACCCCUAUGCUCCUGCGCCUCGACGCCUCUCCUCACCCCCUUCUCCAACGAUAGGCCGGCGAGGGAUUCGCCCUCGGCCUCGCGUCUCUCACAACUACUACCUCCGCUCCAACCCACCAGCCCAUGACAACUUGGUAUCAGAAUGGAGGGGGAGAUGUCAUGUGGGGUUAGCCCUAUAGGCGCAAGGCAGGCCCCACGCAGUCUGGGCCUGCACGGCCUAAACUAUGGCCUAGUUUAAUUAUAGAAGUUGUGUUAGAUUAGGAGUCUGGGUUAGUUGGAAAGGUUUAGUCCCGUAGAAGGUUACCCUGCCAACUCCCAAUUGGAGUAGGAGUCUAGUCUUGUAAUCAGGCUUUAUAGCAUUUGGAUCAAUAAAAUUAAGCAGAAACAAUCUAAUCUCUCACCCCUAUGCUCCUCCACCUUGGUGUCUCCCGUCUCUCACGAUUGCAACCUCCGCUCCAACCCACCAGCCCGUGACACGAGCGCUCAACAUGUUUAGCAUAUAAUUACAUACAAAUAUAACACUAAUCACAUAAUUAACACGCAAAAAUAUCCUACCUAAUAAUCACAUAAUUAACAUGCAAAAAUAUCCUAGCUAAUAUCUGUGUGCAACUAAUAUACUGCCUAAUAUUUACGUAAGCAUUUACUAGUACUAUAAUUGCGUACUAGUACUAUAAUAUAAUCCACUUUAUCUCUGAUUUCUCCUAGAUUGGUGUACACAAUGAAGAUAUUCUUGAUUGCAUUCUUAGUUUUGUCUGAAUAUUUUUUCCUUCAUAAAUAACACAAGCUUAGGUUAUUCAAUGUUAAUGUAUGUAUAGUAUAUACAUGAAUAUUUGCCUAUUUUAGUUAUUGCUAAAUAUUUGCUUCUAUAUGGUUAAAAUUCAAUCCAAAGUUAUAAUGGCGUUUUGCAACGAAAAUACAUCGGGAACCUGGGUGCGCGCGCACCCAAACUGAAAAACUUUUUGACAACAAACAUGGCCUAGCAUAAUACUCAUGUUUAAAGUUUCGGGCCAGAAUGAUUUAUGGUGUAUUUCGAGCAAAAUACAACAUAAUCAUGAUUUUUGUAGCUGCACUUUUGUUUUCUCAUUCAGAAUACAACAUAACUCGUUUUUGACCGAUACCUUAAAUGGAUUAUUAUGCUAGAUUGUUUCUCGCAGAAAAGUUUCUCAUUUUCUGAUUUUUUAACUUCUUUUGCUUAACCGGGCGCGCCUAGACCCAUUCCAAAAAUCUACAAUGCAUUUUGCAACAAGAAUUUAGAAGUCACUAGUUAUUGCUUAAUUAUGUUGUUCAG
rnacentral:lncRNA from 1 species